AAUGAACGCUGGCGGCAUGCCUUACACAUGCAAGUCGAACGGCAGCAUGACCUAGCUUGCUAGGUUGAUGGCGAGUGGCGAACGGGUGAGUAAUGCAUCGGAACGUGCCUUUUAGUGGGGGAUAACGUAGCGAAAGUUACGCUAAUACCGCAUAUUCUCUGAGGAGGAAAGCAGGGGACCUUCGGGCCUUGCGCUAGAAGAGCGGCCGAUGUCGGAUUAGCUAGUUGGUGAGGUAAAGGCUCACCAAGGCAACGAGCCGUAGCGGGUGUGAGAGGAUGAUCCGCCACACUGGAACUGAGACACGGCCCAGACUCCUACGGGAGGCAGCAGUGGGGAAUUUUGGACAAUGGGCGCAAGCCUGAUCCAGCCAUGCCGCGUGAGUGAAGAAGGCCUUCGGGUUGUAAAGCUCUUUCGGCUGGGAAGAAAUCGCACCCUCUAAUACAGGGUGUGGAUGACGGUACCAGCAUAAGAAGCACCGGCUAACUACGUG
rnacentral:rRNA from 1 species